UUUUAUGGUGCAUCACAGCGUAGCCUGGAUGUCAUCACAGCCACGUCACAAUGCAGCACCCAUUACUAUGUCACAGCCUUCUGGAACUCAUGUGUGAGUAGAAACUAACCCCAUGUAAAUGUGGAAUUCUUUCUAUUCAGCAUUCUGCAUGCUAGGCUGAGACAAGAAGGAACAAUUUCAAGAACUUGGAGCAACAACCCUUCUUUAUCCUGAUAAGUCAAUGGGUACUUCAUCUACAUAUGUGGUUAAGGGCAAAUGCUCCUAAUAACUACUCAUUUUGAUGCCUACUAUACGAAUCCUGAGCUUUCAUUGACUUCAAAAGGAACUCGGCACAAGGAGGAGCUAUGUGGGAUACAAAGAAAGUAUUCCUCCUCUUGGCUUUCUGUAAACAUACUGCGUACGACGUCUGAGUCAUGGCCAUGCUGUUGGCUGUUUACUUUCCCUGUUGUCAGUGCUGUACAGCUAACACCGACGACUUGGAAGUGAGCUGCAUGCUAUUCUUAGUUUAUUACAACCAGCUCUUGAUAACUUGGGAACUCAUUAUGUACUCUAUGGACUGGUUUCGUUUCCUUACUGUGGCCUGGGAUGUGGCCUUUUGCUGAAGCAUUAAACCCUUUACAACUAGAACUUUUAUCAGAAUGUCAAAAUUUGGAUAAGGGGAAUGAGAAAAGACAACAUUAACUCUGCAAGUGAGGUAUUUGCUUAACUUAUAUUAAAAGAUGAGACCAGU